GCCAGCGGCGAUAACACAUUGGAUCCACCAGUGGUUUACAGAAGUUAAGCAACGUUGCGCGUGGUUCGUAUCCGGAUGGGUGACCAUCUGGGUAAUCUUGAGCUGCUGGCU
rfam:Asian citrus Psyllid, Diaphorina citri - Florida Strain, whole genome shotgun sequence.